rnacentral:rRNA from 1 species
GUAAAAGUCGUAACAAGGUUUCCGUAGGUGAACCUGCGGAAGGAUCAUUACAGAGAACUUGCCCUUCGGGGUAGAUCUCCCACCCUUUGUUAACAUUACCUAUGUUGCUUUGGCAGGCCAGACAUUUCGUCUACCGGCCUAGGCUGGACAGCGCCUGCCAGAGGACCCAAACUCUUUUAUUUGAAUGUCGUCUGAGUACUAUAUAAUAGUUAAAACUUUCAACAACGGAUCUCUUGGUUCUGGCAUCGAUGAAGAACGCAGCGAAAUGCGAUAAGUAAUGUGAAUUGCAGAAUUCAGUGAAUCAUCGAAUCUUUGAACGCACAUUGCGCCCUCUGGUAUUCCGGGGGGCAUGCCUGUUCGAGCGUCAUUACAACCCUCAAGCUCUGCUUGGUAUUGGGUGUCACACCUGCGUGCACCCUAAAAUCAGUGGCGAUGCCCUGCAGCUUCAAGCGUAGUAAAUCUCUCGCUCCGGAGUCUGUCAGGAGCAGUGCCAACAACCCUCUAUAACAUCAAAGGUUGACCUCGGAUCAGGUAGGGAUACCCGCUGAACUUA